AAAAAAAAAAGCUUCUAUCAUAUUCAAUUAACCUCAGGCCAUUUACAUCUAGUUUCUGCAUACCAAAUUUCAUUCAGAAUCGAAUCCAAUCCCACCCAAAAAUUAAAAUGUUUCACUAAGCAACCCAAAUCCUCCACAACUUCAGCUAUAUAUACAAUAGAAUAACAGAAUGGAAUUGAAAACGAAAAAACCUGUGCCGAACGUCGAGAGCAU
rnacentral:misc_RNA from 1 species